UGGGGAAUAUUGCACAAUGGGCGCAAGCCUGAUGCAGCCAUGCCGCGUGUAUGAAGAAGGCAUUCGGGUUGUAAAGUACUUUCAGCGGGGAGGAAGGGAGUAAAGUUAAUACCUUUGCUCAUUGACGUUACCCGCAGAAGAAGCACCGGCUAACUCCGUGCCAGCAGCCGCGGUAAUACGGAGGGUGCAAGCGUUAAUCGGAAUUACUGGGCGUAAAGCGCACGCAGGCGGUUUGUUAAGUCAGAUGUGAAAUCCCCGGGCUCAACCUGGGAACUGCAUCUGAUACUGGCAAGCUUGAGUCUCGUAGAGGGGGGUAGAAUUCCAGGUGUAGCGGUGCAAUGCGUAGAGAUCUGGAGGAAUACCGGUGGCGAAGGCGGCCCCCUGGACGAAGACUGACGCUCAGGUGCGAAAGCGUGGGGAGCAAACAGG
rnacentral:rRNA from 1 species